rnacentral:rRNA from 1 species
AGAACGAACGCUGGCGGCAGGCUUAACACAUGCAAGUCGAACGAGACUUCGGUCUAGUGGCGCACGGGUGAGUAACGCGUGGGAACCUGUCCUAUGGUACGGAAUAACAUCGGGAAACUGGUGCUAAUACCGUAUAAGCCCCGAGGGGGAAAGAUUUAUCGCCAUAGGAGGGGCCCGCGUAGGAUUAGCUAGUUGGUGAGGUAACGGCUCACCAAGGCGACGAUCCUUAGCUGGUCUGAGAGGAUGAUCAGCCACACUGGGACUGAGACACGGCCCAGACUCCUACGGGAGGCAGCAGUGGGGAAUAUUGGACAAUGGGGGAAACCCUGAUCCAGCCAUGCCGCGUGAGUGAUGAAGGCCUUCGGGUUGUAAAGCUCUUUCGCACGUGACGAUGAUGACGGUAACGUGAGAAGAAGCCCCGGCUAACUUCGCGCCAGCAGCCGC